rnacentral:rRNA from 1 species
GACGAACGCUGGCGGCGUGCUUAACACAUGCAAGUCGAGCGACUGCAUUCUUUUCGGAGGGUGUAUGGAGCGGCGAACGGGUGAGUAACACGUGAGUAAUCUGCCUUUGGCUUGGGAAUAACUUCGGGAAAUCGGGGCUAAUGCCUGAUGUUUACUGUCUGCUGCAUGGUGGGUGGUGGAAAGAUUUUUUGGCCAGGGAUGAGCUCGCGGUCUAUCAGUCUGUUGGUGGGGUAAUGGCUUACCAAGGCUUUGACGGGUAGCCGGCCUGAGAGGGUGUUCGGCCACACUGGGACUGAGACACGGCCCAGACUCCUACGGGAGCAGCAGUGGGGAAUAUUGCGCAAUGGGCGUAAGCCUGACGCAGCGACGCCGC